rnacentral:rRNA from 1 species
UAGGGAAUAUUGGGCAAUGGAGGCAACUCUGACCCAGCCAUGCCGCGUGCAGGAUGAAGGCGCUCAGCGUUGUAAACUGCUUUUAGCUGGGAAGAACAGUAGUCCUGCGGGAUUAUGUGACGGUACCAGCGGAAUAAGCACCGGCUAACUCCGUGCCAGCAGCCGCGGUAAUACGGAGGGUGCGAGCGUUGUCCGGAUUUAUUGGGUUUAAAGGGUGCGUAGGUGGUUUUCUAAGUCUGGUUUGAAAGCAGGCGGCUCAACCGUCUGAUGUGGCUGGAAACUGGGGAACUUGAAUAGGUUAGCGGCUGCCGGAACGGGUCAUGUAGCGGUGAAAUGCAUAGAUAUGACCCAGAACACCGAUUGCGAAGGCAGGCAGCCAGGACCUGAUUGACACUGAGGCACGAGAGCAUGGGGAGCCAACAG